GCCUCACCUCUCUGCUGAAUGUUCUUUUUACCUCUUGUCUUUAGUCUCUUGGAAGUCUGUUUAUUUGCCGUUGAUCUGUUCACAGCUGCUGAAUGUUUGCUGAAACCACAUUCCAAACGAGUGGUUUCUGUUUUCUCUUGGCUAAGGAGGAGCAGAAAGAGAAGAAUCCUCUCAGUGCUCAAGCUCCACUCCUUAGACAAGCAAGAACUAGGUUGCAUGUGUCUUCUUUAAAUACACAGCCAGAAAAAGAGACUCCAAUAAAAAGGUGUGUGAGUUCAGCUGGCUGUGACUUGAUUUCAGCAUUUUGGGCCUGAAGCUUCCUCUUCCCCAGGGUGAUGCGAGGGAUCAGAAGGCAGGUGUCCUGGUGGAGCUGAACCAGGCCGUUGUCUGCACUGAGGA